CCUACGGGUGGCAGCAGUGAGGAAUAUUGGUCAAUGGACGAGAGUCUGAACCAGCCAAGCAGCGUGAAGGAUGACUGCCCUAUGGGUUGUAAACUUCUUUUAUAUGGGAAUAAAAUGUUCCACGUGUGGGAUUUUGUAUGUACCAUAUGAAUAAGGAUCGGCUAACUCCGUGCCAGCAGCCGCGGUAAUACGGAGGAUCCGAGCGUUAUCCGGAUUUAUUGGGUGUAAAGGGAGCGUAGGUGGAUUGUUAAGUCAGUUGUGAAAGUUUGCGGCUCAACCGUAAAAUUGCAGUUGAAACUGGCAGUCUUGAGUACAGUAGAGGUGGGCGGAAUUCGUGGUGUAGCGGUGAAAUGCGUAGAUAUCACGAAGAACUCCGAUUGCGAAGGCAGUUCACUGGACUGCAACUGACACUGAGGCUCGAAAGUGUGGGUAUCAAACAGGAUUAGAUACCCCGGUAGUC
rnacentral:rRNA from 1 species